rnacentral:piRNA from 1 species
UACCGUGGACCAAUACACAGCUGAGAAGCA